AACGCUCCCCGACAACAUGGCUGCUGCGAUACAGUGUCCGCACAUAAGUCCGUCUUCACUCCGGAGAAAAACAUCAUUUUAAGGGAAUAUUAAUCACAGUGAGCUGAAUAUUACGCAAGACCUCUACAUGAGUGUUGUGAAGAGGAUCGCUGUGCCACACCUGAGCCACCGAUAACCAUCCACGCCUUCAGCCCAUAAACUCCCAGCUUCCUGCUUCUCUGUGCUGCUCCCUGCAGGUGUGGGCGUGCCUCCUGUCACACUGGCAGAGGAGGUGGGGCAGGAGGUGUUGCCAGGCGGGGGACCAAGGCUGCACCCGCCUGCCUUCUCCAUCUUCCUCCGUCCGAGUCUGAACAUCUGGAGCUGCAGUUUCCUCAGGCAGCGGGCUGAGAGGGAUCCAGCAGAGGGCCUCGGGUGUGUGCCGACCAGGUCGGGACAUUGCAGAGCGGCAGUGACCGGGCUCUGCUGGGCGGCGUUGGCUGGUUAAGGAGCAGAGCAUGUGGAGAGGCUGUGGUUGCCAUGGAGCAGCAGGAUAAGAAGCAGGAGGAGCAUGCUGUGGCUCUGGGCCUCUCCACUGGCCAGGCUUUGGCCAAGCUGCGGGACCAGCUCAAUGGCCUGCUGGAGCAGCACCAGAGGACUGCACGUAGACGAGUAUCUGCACAGGAACAGUGGCUAAAUAGCUUUCUGUACCAUGGCAACCGGCACUCCUGUCUCCAUUGGCCGGGAGCUGCCCUCACUCUGCUGGUGGUGCUGGGACUCUUCUGUUGCUAUGGCAGCCAGCCAAAGGGCAGCUCUGGCAUCGAGCUGAUGAACGCGUUAGCCCUCCUGCUCCUCUUCCUUCUCAAUCUGCUGCUGGUCGGACGUCAGGAGAGGCUGAAGAGGAGCGAGAUGGUCCGCCGCCUUAAGGCAAUCAUCACACAGCUCAGCGACUACCUGACGGGGUGUUUGGGUGAUGCACGCUGGUCCCCGUCUCUCUACCCGGAUCUGUACACACCCACGUCCCCAUCGUGGUCUCUUCACUGGACCUACCGGGACUCUCAGCUGAUUAACCUGCCCGUCAGUCUGCUGGUGGAGGGAGACAUCAUCGCUUUGAGACCUGGGCAAGAGGCGUUCGCGUCCCUCAGAGGCAUCAAGGAUGAUGAGCACAUCGUGUUGGAGCCAGGAGAUUUAUUCCCUCCAUUCUCACCCCCUCCUUCCCCACGUGCCAACGACAAGAGAGGACCCCAGAGCCCCCAGCAUCACCGGCUCUUCAGAGUGGUCCGGACCCCGGUCCUGGACAUCGUUGGAAACAGUUUGGAGUCGGCGUUGUCUCGACCGAUCACGGUUCUUGAUAAUGAGAGGUUCACAGUGCAGUCUGUCAUCACCAAGCUCGUCUGCCCCAUCGUGCUGGUGGCGUUCCUGCUUGUGAACACAGUCCGCUUUUUUAUUGACGCUCCCAGCCUUACGCCUGCCUGCUACAAUUUCUUUCAACUUCAGUUGAUGGGCGUUCUGCCCAUCUUGCCCCUGCUCUUCCCCGUCAUGUGGGUGCUGCUGAACGCCUUCGGAGAGGCCAGAGUCCUCGCCGAGUUCAGCCGAGCGUCACCAGCUGGUCUGCUUGCUAAGUUCUCUGAGGACACUCUAAGCAGCUACACCGAAGUGGUUUCCUCCCAGGAGAUGCUGCGCUGUGUGUGGAGACACCUGGUGGGCGUCCUGAAGGGAGAGUCUCAGACACUCUGCUACACGUCCAGCCUUUUACACACUCUGGGAUCUGUGACUGUGCUGUGUUGUGUAGACAAGCAGGGGAUCUUGUCGUGGCCUAACCCCAGUCCAGAGACCGUGCUGUUCUUCAGCGGACGGGUGGAGCCGCCUCACAACAGCCAGGACGACCUCAGAGAUGACCUGUCCGUCAACUCCUACUGCAGACUGGAGACGGAUGAUGACAGGGACGAGGCCCAGGAGGGGGAGGCUCUGCUCUGUCUACCUGCAGAGGCCUCCACACAGCUGGGGGAGGGGCCAGAGCCAAGUGAGACAUCACAUGACAUCACUCGCUCCUCUGAUAAUAUCCGUCAUGUGCGCCCCUGUCAGCCUGCGCACACUCGCACCAAACACCACUCUGGAUCCAACGUGAGCUUCAGCCGGGACACAGAGGGCGGCGAGGACGACCCGACACAGGACUGUGGCAUGGGCUGCCCUGAGGCGGAGGCUGAGGACUUUGUGUGUGACUACCACCUUGAAAUGCUGAGUCUGUCUCAGGACCAGCAGAACCCUGCCAGCAUCCAGUUUGAUGACCUCACCUGGCAGUGUCACCUGCCCUCUCUGAAGCCUCUGGGCCUCAACAUCAUGCUGAACCUUUGCAACGCCAGCGUCACCAAGCAGCUCUGCCGCUUCUCUGACCACCUGUCCAACCUGGCUCUGCAGGAGAGCCACGGCACCGUGCUGCCCGUCUACGUCCCCUGGGGUCUCUGUGAGCUCUCCAGGCUCAUAGGGUUCACUCCUGGUGCGAGGGAGCUCUUCAAACAGGAGAACCACCUGGCUCUUUACCAGCUGCCGACUGGAGAGAAAGCCAAGGAGUUCUCUUCACGCCGCCUUCAUUACUUCACCAAACGCCAGCCUCCACUCUCCCACCUCAUCUCUCUGUUCGUACGAGACUCCUCCUCCAAUAACGUCCAGAUGCUGUCUCAUGGCUCGGCUGACCUCAUUCUGGAGGCCUGCACUGAUUUCUGGGAUGGAACUGAUAUCUACCCCCUCUCAGGCUCAGACAGAAAGAAGGUUCUGGAUUUCUACCAGCGUGCCUGUCUGUCGGGUUACUGCUCCGCCUUUGCCUACAAACCCAUGCAGGUGUCGUUGUCCAACCAGCUGAAUGGGAAGUGUGUGGAGCUGGCUCCCGGUCCCUGCCUCUUCUCUGGAGUGGAGCUGCCCUCCACCACACCCAUCAAACACAACUCCUGCAGAAACAGCUGGAGCUCGGAUGAGGGGAUCGGUGAGGGUGUGGAGCGUGAAGACUGCGUCCAGGCCCUCAGUGGGCAGAUCUUCAUGGGCAUGGUAUCGUCCCAGUUCCAGGCAAGGCUGGACACAGUCCGGCUCAUCGACGCACUUGUCACCGCGUGCAUCCGCUUUGUUUACUUUUCCAUGGAGGAUGAACUCCGCAGCAAGGUCUUUGCAGAGAAGAUGGGUUUAGAGACAGGCUGGAACUGUCACAUCUCUUUGACUCCAAACGGAGACAGUCCCUGUGAUGGAGCACCGUCCAGCCCCAGUCAGGGCUCCCUGCAUGAAGACCUGAACCAAGAUUCUCGAGAUGAAGCAGAAGGUCCUCUGCUGCCAGAGGAGGAAGCUCACUCUGACCUGGCCAGUUUCCAGCCCACAGACAGCGACGUGCCCAGCUUUCUGGAAGACUGCAACAGGGCCAAACUACCUCGUGGUAUCCACCAGGUUCGUCCUCAUUUGAAGAACAUUGAUAAUGUGCCUCUGUUGGUGCCACUCUUCACUGACUGCACCCCUGACACCAUGUGUGAGAUGAUGAAGAUCAUGCAGGAGAACAGGGAGGUCACGUGCUGUCUGGGAAGCUCUGCCAAUUUCCGCAAUAGUCGCCUGUUUCUACAGAGUGAUGUCAGCAUUGCUCUGGACCCUCUGUACCCGUCUCAGUGUUCGUGGGAGACGUUCGGCUACGCCACUGGAGGAUUCAACGGGGAGGUGGAAGGUCUGACUCCUCUGAGGCUCUCUGGUCAGCUCAACAGUCUUGGCUGUUCUGUCACCUUCCACCAAGGAGAGAGUGUCAGCAUGGUCAAGCUUAUAGAGCAGGCUCGACACACGACCUACGGCAUCCGCAAGUGCUUCCUUUUCCUGCUGCAGUGUCAGCUCAGUCUGGUCAUCAUCCAGUUUUUAGCCUGUCUCGCUCAGCUUCCUCCUCCAUUGAACACCACUGACAUCCUGUGGCUUUCCUGCUUCUGCUGCCCACUUCUGAGCGUCUCACUUUUGGGGAAGCCACCCGACAGUUCAGUAAUGUCUGUCGCUACAGGGAAGAAUCUUGAUUCAAUUCCAAGGAAGACCCAGAACUACUUCCUCGGCUGUUUCCUGCUGAAGUUCGGUCUGACGGUGUGUGCCUACCUGUUGGCCUUUGGGUUCACUCUGCAGGAGGUCUGCCUCAGAAGCAGCAACGUAACCCUACCUGACAACACCACUGCCAGCUGCCUUCACAUCCUCACAGAGAGCUCUUCAGACAACGCUCCUCAGUGGUUCAUGGAGCUGUCAAACGGCCUGCUGCUCACUCAGAAGGUGAUGGCAGGGUUUCUCGCCUUACACACAGUGGUGAUCUCUCUCAGCUACGUGCACCGCUCUCAGCCUCUGUGGAGGAAGAGUCCCUUCAGUAACACCUGGUGGUGUCUCACUGUACCUGUGGUUCUGCUCACCCAGGUCGUUCAGGCUACGGUGGAUUUCCAGUUAUGGCGAGACAGGGAGAGCCUCCUCACCUUUAACCUGGGAGACAUUCCUCUGCUGGCCUGGCUGCUGGUCUCUGUGUCCCCGCUGCUGGUGGUGGUGAUCAAUGAAGUGGUAAAGCUGCACGAAAUACGGGUGCGAGUCCGCUACCAGAAGAGGCAGAAGCUGCAGUUUGAAACAAAGCUGGGGAUGAACUCGCCGUUCUGAUGUGUGCAGCGACAAGGAGUCGCCCUGUACACUCUGGAAACCUGGGAUUAGCAGGGUACGAACACUUCAGAACCCUCUGUUCUCACUUCAACCCAACAGCACUGCAGCCAUCAAGUGGAGCGCCUGAAUGUCACUGUUGGGGCUAGAACUCCUGAUGUUCAAACUGAAGGGCAGGAAAAGGAGAAGUCCAAAGCACUCAUCUCCAUCGAACAGAAAAAAGCCCAAAAAAAGGCAACUUUUAAUCGUCUGGUUUCAGUUUUAAAGGCAUGAGGAAUGUUUGCUGAAGCUGUUAAUGCUUCCUCACUGUCACGUCUGAGGGGUCCCACACAGCUCACAUAAAGCCCCUCUCUUUUAAAGGAUACUUCUGUUAACUGUCUUUUGGUUUUACACACUGAAACACACAUCUUAUGAUUUUAAUCAAUCCAGCACUCAUUUACUUUUACAUCAGAUCAGCCUGUCGUUGUUUAAAGGGGAAAAUGAAAACUGUGGAGCUCCAAAGUGUUCAGUAUUAAACACAUGAAUAAGUCAAAGACGACUUUGUGAAUACAUUUUAUAAAAUACAAACACAGAACAAGAAUUUGGGGAAUAAUUUAAGAAAUAAUGAUGCAUGAUAGUGUCAUUAAGUCUCCAAUUUCACUCCACGAUUCCACUGCAAACGAGUGCGCUGCGCUCUGUCUCCAACUUGUUGCUUAUUGUUUACAGAGAGAUGCUUCUGGGACAGCUCAGAUGCAACACAGCUCUCUCUGUGGAAACACAAGCAUUGACUAGAGUGGGCACAGACCAGCUCUGGAGCGUGCAGUGAACAUGUUUGCUGUGAAAUCAAUUGGUUACUUCUCAGCCAAUCCCAUGCUCCCUUUCUCUCGAGGUGCAUCUGAAAAUUUGCUCCCAUUUACUGUGAAUUUCAACCAUCUGCUUCCCUGCACAGAGUGUACAAAGAUACCUAUCAGGGUGGAAUUUUUUUUUCUGGCACCACAACCCUUUUCCCUCUUUAUUUAAAAACUGCAUUUAAAGCAAGCUGUGGUGUGUUUUUAAGUAAAUAAACAUUGUGGGGCGUCGGUUUGAUCGAAAAGACUCCUAAAGUUAAGACCACAAGUGAAGCAGCGGAGGUGGGCAAGGCAUUUCUAGGCAAACUGGAUGCUUGUCAGUGGGUCCGCAGUGUUAAAAAAGCAAACCCAACAACUGUAGCGACUUCAGUCCCGUUAGUGAAUGCAACAAACACAUCUCAGUAAUUCUAAAUCGACCAAUAAGAAGCUGGAGUUGUAUAUAAACAGAAGACAUAAACAGACUUCUGCUUUAUUCACAUAUUUUAAUACAUACAAAUAAAUAAAGCAGUUAUAUUAGAUGCUGCUGAACUCAGGUGGUUCAAAAAAUGAUAUUUAGAGAAAAUCAUAAACCUGAGUCUGUAAAGGACUGGCCGUCUGUUUCUGUGUUAACAAAAAAUAGCUCCCAAGGUUCAAAUUGGCUUUUAAAUUUAAUGAAUAACAGUUAGUUAGUACGGCGGCCUCCUUCGUUUUUAUUAUUUGCAGCUUUAAUACUUAAGAAAAAGGCUAAAGUUCAAGUUUAACGUGCACUUUCUCGCCUUAGCAGCCAGAGGUACCUGACAGGAGAGAGGCAGGACAGGAGACAACUCUACAAUAAAUGAUUGAAAUGUCAAUAUGGAAUAAAAACAGGUAUUAACUGUAACGAGGGGAGACAUCUGCAUUGAAAUGUUAUGUUAUAGCAGUUUAAAAGACGAUAAAAUUGUCAUUUUAUUUAAUUAUUGCUCAUACUUUAAUGUAUUUUAAGUCAUGUAUUUAGUUUGUUUUAAUACUGAACACACGGGGGCUCCACAUCAAACUUGAAUUCUGUAGAUUGCGAGUGUGACACUACCUCCAAAGUAACGUAAUGAAGUUUCUCUAGAGCCUUCUUCAACCUAUCUGUUGUUCACACACAUUUUCAUCCUCACCGUGGUCGCCUGAAACCCACACUUUCAUUAUUUUACUGUUUUUAGCAACAAACGUCCGUUUUGUUGUUGAAUUCCAGCGCCAAGCCGAGGUCAGACCUGCUGUAAAGACGGAUAGAUUUAAAUCUUUAAGUUUUAUACGUCUACUUUAAAACACACACACUGUAUAUUACACAUCUGUCUAACUGAAGAAUGUGCCAGCAUGCUACUUUGAACUCACACAGGAGCAUUUGAAUCAGGUCCGUCGUUCAGCGGUGGACGUACUGAACAUACAAUCAUGUUAAACUCUGCGUGUGUCUGCACGCCGGAGUCUUCUGAAAGGUGCUUCAUAUCAUUCAGUUGCCUUCCUCCUCAGCCUGUUGAGCUCUUGACACCACAGCAGGCAGGAGCUCAGGAUACUGGUUUAUUUUUAAUUAUUAUUUCAAGUUUAUUUUAGAAGAACUCAGCAGAUUGUUUUUAUAAAUCUCCCCAAAUUUCAUGUUUGAUCAGCCGACCAGCAUAUUCCAGAGAUUGAGAUUUCUUUGCUGAUCAUCGUCACCUCUGUCAUUGUUAACAAACCAGCCUUCUGUGUGGUGUUGUCGUUCUUUCACAUGGAUAGAGUUUUGUUUUUGCUGCUGUGUACGAAGAGGACGAGAGCUUCAGCUGAUUACUGCUGAGCUCUUACAUCAACAAAUCCAAAACAAUCAUCGUCAGUACAGCCAGGAGACCCAACUGCCAAGAAUGUAUUAUAGCCCAAUUUUUAUUGAUACUGUAAUGUAAAUUAUACAAACUGUAAUUUUUCUUAUGUUUUCAGAUUUUAUUUAAGUGGAAAUCAACUCACGUUUAUGUAUUACACACCACAUGUUUCAAUCCCAGUGAAAACAACGUAGUGAUCCCUGCUUACAAUAAUUUGCAUUCAAUUAAACGACCACAAAGAGACUGACACGGUGAACCCUCAGCUGAGUUUACAAGAAUCUCACCUUGAUUUCCAUUCAAACACAAGUGGACUCAUAAAGCAUGGACUGUAUGUCACCAGGCCUGCGGUCAAACCUGCAGACUUGAUGCAGACACUUGAUGCAGGAACUGAGACCUCCAACAGUGGAUUUGUACGGUGGGGGUGAUGGACUAUGAUACGGUCGUUCACGAGAUACAUAAAUGUAUAUUUUGUAUUUUUCAAAGUGUCUAUGUUCAGGACUUUUGACAGAUUUGUUUCUGUAUUGAUUGUCAUCUUAAUAAAUAUGUUCUUUUAUUCACAA